CAUGCGAUAGUUCGGGCUGACUUAUAUUCCAACAUAGGAAGUGUUAUAAACAGCUGAUCGGAUCGGCAAAGCCUGUUUCUGGAAUAUUGUGUUUUUGUUGCUGCAAGUCUGGAAUAUUAUGUUUUUGUUGCUGGAAGUGCUUUUUAUGCAAUUUUUUGCAAAGCUAUAUGUGGAAGAAAACCGUGACCUAGGGCAAGCUAAUGGAAUAAGAUAUGGCAGGAGUGACGCCCACUGUGGUCUUCUGCUGCUGCUUCAUCCGUUUUAAGGUUCAACUUGACACCCACGUGUGCUCUUCUGCAAACCUUGGCUGUAUCAGCGCUCAGAGCAAGUGACUGUGAUGGGCUGUCAAACCGCAUCUAAAGUACUCUACCAAAGAAUAAUAUCCACUCCUGACCUACUCUGAAGAAAAAUAUUUCAUUCGAUCAAUGUCGCAGUCUCCCCC
ensembl:lncRNA